GUACCAUAGAGACGCGGGAGAAGAGUAACCAGAACGGCGCGAGGAAUGCUGGGAUACUGGAGGUCCGCCCAGCGCUUCCUGCGGGUUUAACCGUCCUUCAGAGUUAGAAAGAUGGAUUAAUUUGUGCUUUUGCCGUCUUGUCCGGACUCUCUGAAUUGACAAGAGUUCAGGGAAGAAGUAGUAGGGGACUGUUAAAUGGCUGAUAUCUGAAAGAAGGACCGAUUUCAAAGGCACCUUCCUUUUGAAUUGAGGAAGGCACAGCUAAUUGGCCAACCAUGAAGAACUGAGGAGGCAGACCUACACCUCAAGUCUCUAUGACGUCCUUUCAAGACAUUUAAGAAGCAUCAACCAUUUUUCAAGCAUUGGAGUUACAAAGAUGAGCAAGUCCUGGCCCUUGAGAAGAAUGUGAUAUCAGGAAAGAGAUUUGGAAUUUUGGAGCAGUGUUCAUCUCAGAAGAUCAUGUUCAAAAGAGCUUCAAUUUGUCGGCCCUAAUGAUUUUGAAGAGGUGAGUUUCAACUCAGAUAUUCUGUACUACUGUAAUCAGUGAGCUGGCCCUUUCACUGGGCACCGCCGAAUCCUUUUGCAGAGAAUGAGCUUUCUGUGACUCCCAAGUAGUGAAACAGUCUUUAUUCUCUAGGUUAUCCUUUUAAAGUAAGCUCCUGAUAA